rnacentral:rRNA from 1 species
GAUGAACGCUGGCGGCGUGCUUAACACAUGCAAGUCGAACGAUGAAGCCCAGCUUGCUGGGUGGAUUAGUGGCGAACGGGUGAGUAACACGUGAGUAACCUGCCCUUAACUCUGGGAUAAGCCUGGGAAACUGGGUCUAAUACCGGAUAGGAGCGUCCACCGCAUGGGGGGUGUUGGAAAGAUGUAUCGGUUUUGGAUGGACUCGCGGCCUAUCAGCUUGUUGGUGAGGUAAUGGCUCACCAAGGCGACGACGGGUAGCCGGCCUGAGAGGGUGACCGGCCACACUGGGACUGAGACACGGCCCAGACUCCUACGGGAGGCAGCAGUGGGGAAUAUUGCACAAUGGGCGAAAGCCUGAUGCAGCGACGCCGCGUGAGGGAUGACGGCCUUCGGGUUGUAAACCUCUUUCAGUAGGGAAGAAGCGAAAGUGACGGUACCUGCAGAAGAAGCACCGGCUAACUACGUG